ACCAAAAAUCAUAGUUAUCCCCAUUAAAUGUUGGGAUAGGAAUUGAUGAGCGGAAAGCGUCUGCCAUCAUAUAUGCGUACGCCCAAUAUCAAUCGAACGUGGCUCUGAUACCACUGAUAGUUUUUGUGUUGUUGUAGUGAUGAGAUAGGAUGAUUGAGGAUGUUUUGUAUGGAAUAAUUUUGGAGGUAAAAAAUAGUUGGCUUUUUAUUGAAAGUUAAUAGUUUGGAAGAUUUUGGUAGAAAGUAAUUUGGUGGACAAAGUGGGUAGGAGAAAGGAAUUUUAUUAGAAUGAUGAUGGCUUACAAUAGCUUGAGCUUUGUCUAGCUUCUUUUUUUCUUGCAAACAAAUGAGGGAUCAUGCCCUAUUUAUAGACUCUUAUCACAUCUUCUAGAGAAUUCUACAAGUGUCUACAACCUAUACAAGAUUUUUUGGUGUCCAAGUUACUCUAGUGGAAUCUAGACAAUUCUAAUUUUUUAUUAUACUUGCUUACCAAGGAAUUCUAGGAUAUUGUAGGCAAGUAAUUCUAGAUUCUUCUAGAAAUGAGCAUCAUUAAAUUUAUCACNAUUCUGCAGCUGUUAAUUCAUCUAUAUCCUUGGAUUCCUCAAUAGCUGCAAUAAUUGGAUCAUAUUUUUCUGUGCAAGUAAUUAAAAUUUUUCCAACGACCUUCUUUUCGGGAACAUCAUCACCAUAAGACCUUAGUUGAUUUACUAUUUCAUCUAUUCUUGAAUAAUAAUCUUUUACGGUUUUCAACUCUUUCAUUUUUAGAUUUUCAAAAUUCCUUCUUAAAGUUUGAAGGCGGCAAGUACGUACCUUGUUACUGUCGUAGAACUCCUCCUUCAACUUAUCCCAUGCUUCUUUCGCUAUUUUGGCUCCCAUAAUUCUUGGAAAAUAUGUUUCCGUCAAGCUCAUUUGUAGAGAAAGUAAUGCUAGAGAAUCUUUUUGUUGAUUGUCCUUAAGUUCCUUCUUUUGUGCGGAAGUUAAAGUGGAAAUGUCAUCUGGGUUAGUAUACCCAUCGUUGACGACAUCCCAUAAAUUUUGAGCACAAAAGUAGGUCUUUAUUUUGAUAGACAAAAAAUCAUAGUUAUCCCCAUUAAAUGUUGGGAUAGGAAUUGAUGAGCGGAAAGCGUUUGCCAUCAUAUAUGCGUACGCCCGAUAUCAAUCGAACGUGGCUCUGAUACCACUGAUAGUUUUUGUGUUGUUGUAGUGAUGAGAUAGGAUGAUUGAGGAUGUUUUGUAUGGAAUAAUUUUGGAGGUAAAAAUAGUUGGCUUUUUAUUGAAAGUUAAUAGUUUGGAAGAUUUUGGUAGAAAGUAAUUUGGUAGACAAAGUGGGUAGGAGAAAGGAAUUUUAUUAGAAUGAUGAUAGCUUACAAUAGCUUGAGCUUUGUCUAGCUUCUUUUUUUACUUACUAACAAAUGAGGAUCAUGCCCUAUUUAUAGACUCUUAUCAUAUCUUCUAGAGAAUUCGACAAGUGUCUACAACCUAUACAAGAUUUUUUGGUGUCCAAGUUACUCUAGUGGAAUCUAGACAAUUCUAAUUUUUUAUUAUACUUGCUUACCAAGGAAUUCUAGGAUAUUCUAGGCAAGUAAUUCUAGAUUCUUCUAGAAAUGAGCAUCAUUAAAUUUAUCAGUAUCAAAGAUUACGAGGUUUUGCAUGAUAUGUCUGGCUUAGUUUCCACUGAGAAGCUUCCUCAUUUACUUCAAGAAGAGGUACCAAUAUCACUUAUAUUCUCUCAAAUGAACCACAUUCCUAAGUUUUCUUAACCUUCAUAUUGUUCUAGAGUGAGGGUUUUAUCUGUUUAUUUGAGAAAAAUUUGAAGCGUUGGUUAUGUUGUUCAACUCAUUUCUUAAACUCCUCAUUAACCAUUUAAAAUAAGAUGGCAUUGAAACAUUAAACCACAUAUCCAAUAAAUUUGGGGUGUUGGGCUAUAUUCAGUUGGAUAUCUUCGUGGUCAAAUAGAAACCUUUCAACUGCUUAGCUACAAUAUUCAUUUUCAUUUAUGCUUUUAACAUCAUAUGUAAGGGCACAUAAAUUCUACUGUUUAUUGAAAAAUUAUAGAUAUUCACUUCGUGUUAUUCACUUGACCGAUCAUUCUUAUCGUACUUUCAUAUCUCUUCAUAAUGUGAAACUGGAAUUUGUGGUCUUUUCCUAGCCGAUUAUAGAGUGUGUGUGUGUGUGUGUUCCGCCCCCCCACCCCCCUAAAAAAAAACCUUAUGCUGUCUUUUUGAGAUUAAUUUCAAGAAAUUUUCGAGUAACUAAGCUUUAUUCACUUCUCUACGUGAAUCAUUCUUUGUGAUUCCACUAUUCAUGUCUAGAUUCACUAGGAUAUCUAAAGUAACUAGAUUCUUUGCAAAUGCAAUAUGGCAUAUUAAUUUUUUCUUUUGCUGCCUUCCUCUUCUAAUUUCUCUUUUGGAAUCACGUCAUUAUGCGGAAGGGGCCAACCAUAACCCAAAACACCUAAGUUGUUGUUCUGUUAUUUUCCUCAAUCGUCACCACCUCCACUUGUUGAGUUAUAUUUCAAUUACUUAUCUAUUUUAGCAUGACUACAUCCAUCUUUGCGUCCUCUUUUCAGCUUCAUUCAUCUUAUGGACAUUUGACUUUUAAUAACCCAACCCUUGGAACCGUAAACAUAGACAGUUGAAUUAUUUCGUGUAGGACUAGCCUUUUAACGUUACCAGAAUCUUCUUAUCACAGAGAAUUUUUGUAGCACGUCUCCAUUUCAUCCACCCUCACUAAAUCCUAUGCAUUACAUCCAAUUCUGUCGAUCUAUCCCUCCUUGUUAAUAUUCGAAGGUGGAUACAUGAAACAAUGAACAACAUGAUGUUCUAAUAGUUCGUUAUUAUCCUUAUUUCUGCACUACUAAAUAUGCAUUUUCAGGCGAAUACUAGAUCUCCAACUUUUUCAUGUUAAUUUGUUCUAAAAUUUUGUUGUGAAUGAUCUUGAACAAUCAAUUCUCAUGACAAAUGGUAAGAAGGGUAAAACUCUUAUUAAUUGGUUCAGAUGAACAGCUCGCUGAGUUCUAUAUUUCCCAUCUCUUUUUAUCCCAUCUCUGGUUCCCUAGGUUCACCUUUGACUUUCAUAUCACCAAUUUUCAUCAUUUAACUUUUGCUUUGCUAGUGAUUUACAUUUUUCUUGUUGUUAUGGCAGAUUUUGCACUUGCGGAGUCAGCUACUUAUUCUUAAGCGAUGCAACGAUAGCAAGGUAGAAAAAGAUCUGUGUCCACCCCUAAUUUAAGCAUCUUUCAUUCUCUAGUCGUUUAGAUGUAAGAAAUGAAUAUCCAUAUCCUUUUACAAGUCCAAAAAAAGUACUCAUAUAAGUACUAACAUUUUUAGGAGACCACUGCAGAAAAAUUGUUAUUGCCUUUUAUAGGUUUGAGACAACCAUCAGUAUGUGCUUCCCAAGGCGUCAAUGCUCUAAGCGGCAAAGUAACAGUUCUCCAGCGAUUCAAAUUCUCUUUGAAUGAAAAUUCUUACAUGAAAAAUGUCAGCCAUGGUGUCUCUGUUGAUAGUC
rnacentral:lncRNA from 1 species